UAUGUAUGUAUGUGUCUUUAUGUACAUGUGUAUGUCUGUGUGUAUGUGUAUGUAUGUAUAUAUAUAUAUACACACAGACAUACACAUGUACAUAAAGACACAUACA